rnacentral:rRNA from 1 species
GACGUAGGGCGCGAGCGUUGUCCGGAUUUAUUGGGCGUAAAGAGCUCGUAGGCGGCUCGUUGCGUCGGCUGUGAAAACCCGCAGCUCAACUGUGGGCUUGCAGCCGAUACGGGCGGGCUGGAGUUCGGUAGGGGAGACUGGAAUUCCUGGUGUAGCGGUGAAAUGCGCAGAUAUCAGGAGGAACACCGGUGGCGAAGGCGGGUCUCUGGGCCGAUGACUGACGUGAGGAGCGAAAGCGUGGGGAGCGAACAGG